GAACCCCGGCGAGGGGAGUGAAAAAGAACCUGAAACCGUGUACGUACAAGCAGUGGGAGCACAGGUUUACCUGUGUGACUGCGUACCUUUUGUAUAAUGGGUCAGCGACUUAUAUUCUGUAGCAAGGUUAACCGUAUAGGGGAGCCGUAGGGAAACCGAGUCUUAACCGGGCGUUAAGUUGCAGGGUAUAGACCCGAAACCCGGUGAUCUAGCCAUGGGCAGGUUGAACCUUUGGGGUGUGACUGCGUACCUUUUGUAUAAUGGGUCAGCGACUUAUAUUCUGUAGCAAGGUUAACCGAAUAGGGGAGCCGGAGGGAAACCGAGUCUUAAUUGGGCGUUAAGUUGCAGGGUAUAGACCCGAAACCCGGUGAUCUAGCCAUGGGCAGGUUGAAGGUUGGGUAACACUAACUGGAGGACCGAACCGACUAAUGUUGAAAAAUUAGCGGAUGACCUGUGGCUGGGGGUGAAAGGCCAAUCAAACCGGGAGAUAGCUGGUUCUCCCCGAAAGCUAUUUAGGUAGCGCCUCGUGAAUUCAUCUCCGGGGGUAGAGCACUGUUUCGGCUAGGGGGCCAUCCCGGCUUACCAACCCGAUGCAAACUGCGAAUACCGGAGAAUGUUAUCACGGGAGACACACGGCGGGUGCUAACGUCCGUCGUGAAGAGGGAAACAACCCAGACCGCCAGCUAAGGUCCCAAAGUCAUGGUUAAGUGGGAAACGAUGUGGGAAGGCCCAGACAGCCAGGAUGUUGGCUUAGAAGCAGCCAUCAUUUAAAGAAAGCGUAAUAGCUCACUGGUCGAGUCGGCCUGCGCGGAAGAUGUAACGGGGCUAAACCAUGCACCGAAGCUGCGGCAGCGACACUGUGUGUUGUUGGGUAGGGGAGCGUUCUGUAAGCCUGUGAAGGUGUGUCGUGAGGCAUGCUGGAGGUAGAUGCGUUGUUGGGUAGGGGAGCGUUCUGUAAGCCUGCGAAGGUGACCUGUGAGGGUUGCUGGAGGUAUCAGAAGUGCGAAUGCUGACAUAAGUAACGAUAAAGCG
rnacentral:rRNA from 1 species